UCUGAAACUCAUAUUGCCAGCAAACAUGGGAAACUCAGAUGUCUAGACCUCAGAACCCAGCAACCUCACAUGUGGUGGAGAUCUUCAUCCAUUUCCAACUUCCAGGUUGUUCCUGACCUGGUCACCUUCUUGUAGAAUAUGCCCCAUCUGCUAAAGUAGGAUGCUUAGACAUGCUGGAGGGCUCAAUGCCUCAACAUCAUGGUGGCAUCCUCUGGGCUGUUUCUUCUAUCAUGGCCCAUACCAGUGCAAGACCAAGAGCCAAGUCAGCAGCAGAGGGAAGCCUGACCCUCCUUGAAGCACAUAAGCAGCAGAGUUUCCUGUACAGUUCAGUCAAAGGCCAGUUCUGUUCUGUAAGUCGUUCUGUAAACAUCUUGAAUUCAUAUGCUCAACAUCAUUCACCCUUUAAUUUGUAUAAGGAGGUCUCGAGGGUGAAAGGAAAGCACUCAAGACAAAUGUGUCCUCAGGUAGUAUCCAGCUUAAUGCUUCAAUUAGCAG